rnacentral:lncRNA from 1 species
GGCCGAAGUCCCGGGGAUGGAGAGACACGAACAAAUGGGGCGGCAAACCAGUUACUGGGUGACUUUUCUAUUCCGGGAAAUGGGUCUUCGGGGGAGGGGGAGGAAGCACAUUCAUUAUGGCUUUUGGAUGGAAGCGCCGAGCUCCUCCCCCUUUCCCCUUCCCCGCCCCUGGGAAGCAGAGGAUUGGGGGGGGUCCCAGGGGAGCCCCGCUCACGGCGUGACCUUGGGGCCCGGGUAGGGCUCGCCCUCGCACCAGAAAUCGGCCGCCUGGGGCGUCUCGAGCAGCCACACCUCCCGGGGCACCGGCAGCGGCGCGGCCGGCCCGCAACCGAGGCCGGCGUCCGGGGGCCCGGCCGGCACGGCGAGCUCCAGCAGCCGGUAGUAGUGGCAGUCUCGGCCGUCGUCCGGGUCGUAGGGCGGGGCGAGGAUGUCCAGGAAGGCGGCGGGCCCGUCCACGGCGUCGAUCUGGUGCAGGUUGUCUCGGUGCGGACUGAGCAGGCACGGCGCGCUGGCCUCUGUGUACUCGGCGCGGGAGCGCAGCAGGGCCCGGCGCACCACGGCUCGCUGGCCGGGCCGCAGCGGGGGGUCGAAACGGGGCGGGGCGGCGGGGGCCUGCGGCGGCGGCAGCGGCUGCUGCUGCUGCUGCUGCGGGCCCUCCCCCGGUGCCCCCGGGCCCUCCCCCGGCAGCGGGUCCAGGCAGCUGAUGCGCAGCGUGCCGUAGAGCACCUUGAGCACGCCGUGCAUGCCCGGGUGGUCGUGCAGCGGGAUGGACGUGCCGCUCUUGAGCAGGAACACGCCCAGGCUGAACUCGGCCGUCUCGCAGAUGUGCAUGUAGGUGACGGGCGGCAGGUGCGGCGGCCGCGCCGGCGGAAGGUCAGCCGCGCCUGCCGGGCGAUGCGCUGGAUUAGCGUGGCCAUGUUGUCCCGCGGCAUGCCGCCGCCGGGGCCCGCCGGCCGCCCGAGCCGCCGCCGCCUCCGCCGCCGCAGCCUCCGCGCCGCAACGGCCUCAACGGCUCCCACACGAGCGCCGCCCCGCACGCGCGAGCGCACGCGCACCAGGGACCCCCGAGCCGCGGGAGAGGGGCGAGCCGGCACUGGGCGAAGGAGCGGGGUUGGGGGCGGGGGUCGGGGGGCGAGCGGGCCCUCCCUUUCACCUCGCUCCCGUUACUCCAUUCAUGCCGCCCCAGGGCCAGCGGACUCGGGCCGACCUCUAGACGCGUGUGUCUGCCCCGCGACUCCGCGGCGCCUGCUGGGACUUGUAGUCCUCCGCCCCCCCCCGCCCCUCCCAGAACGGGGACUUGGAGGAGAAGCCCCAGAGCGCUCAGUCCGCGAGCGGUCCAGGUCCUCGCCCGAGGAGGGGAGAGCGACUACAACUCCCAGUUCGCCCCGCGCGGCGCCGUCAGACACGCACUUCCGGCGGGCGGCUGGGUGAGACGGCGCGGGGGUGGCCGGGAAAAGAAAAAGGCCGGAGGCUUCCAGCUUGACAACAGAAGGAAAAGACACGAAGCCACCUUGAAAGAAAGAAUACCUUUGGAACAACAGGGGAAAAAAAAGAAAAGAAUCCUAUGAUGGUGACCCCACCCAACCUAGUUCUGCAGAAGUUUUGAAGAAGGAAGCUUCCAAAAUCAAAGAAAUGACCCCAUGAUGAGAAAAGAUCUCCUGACAAGAUAACACAUGGAAUGGAGGACAUAAGUACCAAGGAAGCACAUUCUGCCCUGCACUCAAACUCUUUCCCUUUGGCUCAUUGGUUCCUUCCUCCAUCGCAGAAGGAAGAAAUAGAUGGGGAGAGGGGAAAAGAUCAGAAAGAAAAAGAUGCAGAAAUAAAAAGGAAGAGAAGAAUAUAUGAGCA